GACAUUUGGAGAGAAAGUGAAAGUGUCGGUUGUUGUGAGGCAGGGGACAGAAGCUGGGACAAUUCCCCCCCAGACGCUUCCCCAAACCUGGCAGCUGGAAACACCAGUCCCAGGAAGAAAGAGCACUUGGGGAUGGAGGGACACGGCCCCUUCGUUGGGACCCUGCGUCCAGCUGAGACAGACCAUUCCUCACGCACACCCAGCAGGCGGCUCCAGGAACUGGAAUUACAGGUGGGAGGCUCAGACGGGCUGUGGUGAGGGGGAUUUGGGCACCGGGAACAUCAGCAGCUAGGCACGCAUGGUGGCCAUGAGAACCCCUGGGGUGAAGUUGGCGGGUGUCCCAAGCUAACGAGAUGGCUUCAGUUGAGUGCAGAGGAGGCGCAG
rnacentral:lncRNA from 1 species